rnacentral:tRNA from 1 species
AAAUAGCUAACUCAAUUGGUAGAGUGGCUCGCUUACAACGAGUAAGUUAGCGGUUCAAGUCCGCUGCUAUUUA